CUUGAAAUACACAUUACUUAAAGCCUCAUUAAAAGUUUAUGAUUAACCAAUCAGUAUCUUAUCACCCAGAUCAUAAUGACACCAAGCAGAGUCCGCUCUAACCUGAUAAUGGCGACACAUCUAUAUCAUGUAGUUUUCUGGUCCAUGUUGAUGAAACUCGUCGUGAUUCAUUCCGAUAUCAUAGCUAAACAUUUUACAGAACAACCUCUAUAUACCGACGUAUUUCUUAAAGUGAACAUCUCCAAAGAAUACACAGCAGACUCAUUCUUCGCGUGUGCUUUAUUGUGCGGACCUACCUGCUCGUGUGUCGGUUAUUUAGAGGCGUCCAAGAGAUGUCGUGUGUUUGAUUCCUGCAACACGACGGAUACUGUGAACGAAGACGGUUGGAUUUAUUACACAACACCGAGUGAAUGUGACGGAGACUGGAUGCUGUAUAAUGGACAUUGUUACCUCCUGAACCGAACAAAGCUAUCUUGGCCUGAUGCCAAGAGUGAGUGCACAAGGUAUGGUGCGUAUCUUGUUGAAAUAAAAAAUGAAGACGAGAAUAAGUGGAUUGAAGAGUACCUUUUACAGGAUGUCUUCUGUAGAAGCAAAUACGAUUGUACGUCUUGGAUUGGUGGAACUGGGACAGUUUGUAUGGGGACACUCGAAAACACCUUUCACUUAUACAAAUUGGGACUUUAUCAAUCCGAACGAUUUUCAAUAUAGUAUCAAAAUUCGUGAUUGUGUAGAUAUGUUUUAUAACGGACAGUGGAAUGAUCGGGCAUGUCACUUUUUAGCAAAUUUCAUUUGUGAAAAAUGAGGA
rnacentral:sRNA from 1 species